rnacentral:rRNA from 1 species
AUGCAAUGGGGUUAUGAAAGGCCUAGUUCAAAUCAGAAGGUUGCAAGCCAUCUGCAAUCAGAAGCUGUGUGUUCUAUAAGUGAACAGAAAUCAUCCAUGGUGCCUAAUAUCCGAAACCAGCAUGUUCCAUUCCGGGGACAACAACAUUUCAGAGCUGAAUUAGAUCCUCCAUGUAGAAAGAUUGAUCUUACUUCAAGUAUCCUUGAUGAUGAUUAUGAUAUUUUUCAAGAUGAUGCAACCAUUGUAGAUCAGAUGGAAACCACAGUAGCAGAUCCAAUACCUCAUGGCAAUGAAACUGUCCAGACUGAGUCAAAUUUGCAAGAAGAUGUUUAUGAGGAACCUACUCUGAUUGAUGCUAAGUUGAGACAACAAGAUAUGGAGAAAUUCACUUGUGUUAGUCAACUAUGUGACAGGUGGAAUUUAGUCGUGGCACCAAUUGCCCACACUUGUGUUACAACUGUAUCUGGGAUAUUUGUCAAGAAGAAAUCAUUAGCUCCACCGGUGGUUGCCUCUAUCUCAGUUAAAGAGAGUAUCUCAGAGAAGAAUAGUGAAGAUGAGAUUCCAACUCUUGCACAUACAUCUAAGCACGUCAGAGACAUUCCAAGGAGAGAGAUACAAGAGGUUGAGUCAAAUUUAGAAGAGUUGAUACUUCAAUAUCCUGAGAAGAUCCCAUGUGUUGCUGAGCUGCAUGACUGGUGGAAGUCAUCAGUGUCAUUGUUGAAACUUAGCAGUGAUGGUGAUGAGGAGAAUAUUGCUCAGAAAGACAGCGAGGUAGUGAUCUCAGCACCCCUACCAGAUCAUGUUAGUGCAUAUUCAUAG